UUCGGCGACGAUAGCGAGGGGGUCACACCCGUUCCCAUUCCGAACACGGCAGUUAAGUCCCUCAGCGCCGAUGGUACUGCACGGGUCGCUGUGUGGGAGAGUAGGUCAUCGCCGGAU
rnacentral:rRNA from 2 species